ACCCAGGGUUAGGGUUUUAGGGUCAGGGCCCAGGGUUAGGGUGAUUUCCAGGAAGUGACCUCACAGUGACUCAAGCUACCACUUACUGUUGAUUGUGAUGAAAUGCCAGCUGAGGCACAUGCCUUGGGAGCUAAGUGGUUGCUGCCCUUGACUACUAUGAAGACUGGUGUGGGAAGGGUCCCUUUGGAUGCACUUGAGCAGGGGUCCCCAACCCCUGAGCCAUAGAGCUGUAAGGAGCCACACAGCAGGUGGGACCAUCCAGUUUCAGGAAAACAAGCUUAACACGCCCACUGAUUCUACAUUAUGCUCCUACCUCCCGGCAGCCUCGCCAGGCCCAGAACUCUCUCCAGUCAGCCUCUACAGACCAAGCUCAUGACUCACAAUGGCCUAUUUAGGCCCAUACCCUACCUCACGGCAGUCUCCGCAGAUGAGCCUACUGCCUCACAACAGCCUCCACAGGCACAGCUCCAUCGUUACAAUGGCCUCUUCAGACCCAGCUCCUGCCUCCCAGCCUUCUAUCCAGGCCCUGAACUUUCUCCGUGGGACCAUCCAGUUUCAGGAAAACAAGCUUAACACGCCCACUGAUUCUACAUUAUGCUCCUACCUCCCGGCAGCCUCGCCAGGCCCAGAACUCUCUCCAGUCAGCCUCUACAGACCAAGCUCAUGACUCACAAUGGCCUAUUUAGGCCCAUACCCUACCUCACGGCAGUCUCCGCAGAUGAGCCUACUGCCUCACAACAGCCUCCACAGGCACAGCUCCAUCGUUACAAUGGCCUCUUUAGACCCAGCUCCUGCCUCCCAGCCUUCUCUCCAGGCCCUGAACUUUCUCUGUGGGACCAUCCAGUUUCAGGAAAACAAGCUUAACAUGCCCACUGAUUCUACAUUAUGCUCCUACCUCCCGGCAGCCUUGCCAGGCCCAGAACUCUCUCCAGUCAGCCUCUACAGACCAAGCUCAUGACUCACAAUGGCCUAUUUAGGCCCAUACCCUACCUCACGGCAGUCUCCGCAGAUGAGCCUACUGCCUCACAACAGCCUCCACAGGCACAGCUCCAUCGUUACAAUGGCCUCUUCAGACCCAGCUCCUGCCUCCCAGCCUUCUCUCCAGGCCCUGAACUUUCUCCGGUCUCCCUCUGUUGUCCGAGGCUGGAGGGUAGUAGUGCUAUCGCAGCUGACUGCAGCCUCAACCUUCCAGGCUGAAGCGAUCCUCCCAUCUCAACCUCCCACGUGGCUGAGACUACAGGUGCUUGCCACUACGCCCAACUAAUAUUUGAUAUUUUCGUACACGUGGAUUCCAGAGGGGUGACAGCGAAACGUGGGACCAUCCAGUUUCAGGAAAACAAGCUUAACACGCCCACUGAUUCUACAUUAUGCUCCUACCUCCCGGCAGCCUCGCCAGGCCCAGAACUCUCUCCAGUCAGCCUCUACAGACCAAGCUCAUGACUCACAAUGGCCUAUUUAGGCCCAUACCCUACCUCACGGCAGUCUCCGCAGAUGAGCCUACUGCCUCACAACAGCCUCCACAGGCACAGCUCCAUCGUUACAAUGGCCUCUUUAGACCCAGCUCCUGCCGCCCAGCCUUCUCUCCAGGCCCUGAACUUUCUCCGUGGGACCAUCCAGUUUCAGGAAAACAAGCUUAACACGCCCACUGAUUCUACAUUAUGCUCCUACCUCCCGGUAGCCUCGCCAGGCCCCGAACUCUCUCCAGUCAGCCUCUACAGACCAAGCUCAUGACUCACAAUGGCCUAUUUAGGCCCAUACCCUACCUCACGGCAGUCUCCGCAGAUGAGCCUACUGCCUCACAACAGCCUCCACAGGCACAGCUCCAUCGUUACAAUGGCCUCUUCAGACCCAGCUCCUGCCUCCCAGCCUUCUCUCCAGGCCCUGAACUUUCUCCGUGGGACCAUCCAGUUUCAGGAAAACAAGCUUAACACGCCCACUGAUUCUACAUUAUGCUCCUACCUCCCGGUAGCCUCGCCAGGCCCCGAACUCUCUCCAGUCAGCCUCUACAGACCAAGCUCAUGACUCACAAUGGCCUAUUUAGGCCCAUACCCUACCUCACGGCAGUCUCCGCAGAUGAGCCUACUGCCUCACAACAGCCUCCACAGGCACAGCUCCAUCGUUACAAUGGCCUCUUCAGACCCAGCUCCUGCCUCCCAGCCUUCUCUCCAGGCCCUGAACUUUCUCCGUGGGACCAUCCAGUUUCAGGAAAACAAGCUUAACACGCCCACUGAUUCUACAUUAUGCUCCUACCUCCCGGCAGCCUCGCCAGGCCCAGAACUCUCUCCAGUCAGCCUCUACAGACCAAGCUCAUGACUCACAAUGGCCUAUUUAGGCCCAUACCCUACCUCACGGCAGUCUCCGCAGAUGAGCCUACUGCCUCACAACAGCCUCCACAGGCACAGCUCCAUCGUUACAAUGGCCUCUUCAGACCCAGCUCCUGCCUCCCAGCCUUCUCUCCAGGCCCUGAACUUUCUCCGUGGGACCAUCCAGUUUCAGGAAAACAAGCUUAACACGCCCACUGAUUCUACAUUAUGCUCCUACCUCCCGGCAGCCUCGCCAGGCCCAGAACUCUCUCCAGUCAGCCUCUACAGACCAAGCUCAUGACUCACAAUGGCCUAUUUAGGCCCAUACCCUACCUCACGGCAGUCUCCGCAGAUGAGCCUACUGCCUCACAACAGCCUCCACAGGCACAGCUCCAUCGUUACAAUGGCCUCUUUAGACCCAGCUCCUGCCGCCCAGCCUUCUCUCCAGGCCCUGAACUUUCUCCGUGGGACCAUCCAGUUUCAGGAAAACAAGCUUAACACGCCCACUGAUUCUACAUUAUGCUCCUACCUCCCGGUAGCCUCGCCAGGCCCCGAACUCUCUCCAGUCAGCCUCUACAGACCAAGCUCAUGACUCACAAUGGCCUAUUUAGGCCCAUACCCUACCUCACGGCAGUCUCCGCAGAUGAGCCUACUGCCUCACAACAGCCUCCACAGGCACAGCUCCAUCGUUACAAUGGCCUCUUCAGACCCAGCUCCUGCCUCCCAGCCUUCUCUCCAGGCCCUGAACUUUCUCCGUGGGACCAUCCAGUUUCAGGAAAACAAGCUUAACACGCCCACUGAUUCUACAUUAUGCUCCUACCUCCCGGCAGCCUUGCCAGGCCCAGAACUCUCUCCAGUCAGCCUCUACAGACCAAGCUCAUGACUCACAAUGGCCUAUUUAGGCCCAUACCCUACCUCACGGCAGUCUCCGCAGAUGAGCCUACUGCCUCACAACAGCCUCCACAGGCACAGCUCCAUCGUUACAAUGGCCUCUUUAGACCCAGCUCCUGCCUCCCAGCCUUCUCUCCAGGCCCUGAACUUUCUCCGUGGGACCAUCCAGUUUCAGGAAAACAAGCUUAACACGCCCACUGAUUCUACAUUAUGCUCCUACCUCCCGGCAGCCUCGCCAGGCCCAGAACUCUCUCCAGUCAGCCUCUACAGACCAAGCUCAUGACUCACAAUGGCCUAUUUAGGCCCAUACCCUACCUCACGGCAGUCUCCGCAGAUGAGCCUACUGCCUCACAACAGCCUCCACAGGCACAGCUCCAUCGUUACAAUGGCCUCUUUAGACCCAGCUCCUGCCGCCCAGCCUUCUCUCCAGGCCCUGAACUUUCUCCGUGGGACCAUCCAGUUUCAGGAAAACAAGCUUAACACGCCCACUGAUUCUACAUUAUGCUCCUACCUCCCGGUAGCCUCGCCAGGCCCCGUACUCUCUCCAGUCAGCCUCUACAGACCAAGCUCAUGACUCACAAUGGCCUAUUUAGGCCCAUACCCUACCUCACGGCAGUCUCCGCAGAUGAGCCUACUGCCUCACAACAGCCUCCACAGGCACAGCUCCAUCGUUACAAUGGCCUCUUCAGACCCAGCUCCUGCCUCCCAGCCUUCUCUCCAGGCCCUGAACUUUCUCCGUGGGACCAUCCAGUUUCAGGAAAACAAGCUUAACAUGCCCACUGAUUCUACAUUAUGCUCCUACCUCCCGGCAGCCUUGCCAGGCCCAGAACUCUCUCCAGUCAGCCUCUACAGACCAAGCUCAUGACUCACAAUGGCCUAUUUAGGCCCAUACCCUACCUCACGGCAGUCUCCGCAGAUGAGCCUACUGCCUCACAACAGCCUCCACAGGCACAGCUCCAUCGUUACAAUGGCCUCUUUAGACCCAGCUCCUGCCUCCCAGCCUUCUCUCCAGGCCCUGAACUUUCUCCGUGGGACCAUCCAGUUUCAGGAAAACAAGCUUAACACGCCCACUGAUUCUACAUUAUGAUUCUUCAGGCCCAGCAUCUGCCUCACUGUGGACUCCCCAAGCCAAGCUCCCAACCUUUCAGCGGCUUCUACACACCCAGCUCCCGCCUGCCAGUGGCCUCUUCAGGCCCAUGGGGCUCAUUCCUCACAACAGCCUUUCCAGUCCCAGUUUUUCCCUUCCGGCGGCCUCUCCGGGCUGAGAACCUCCUCAAGUCGGCCUCUCCAGACUCACUUGCACCCUCCAGGCGUCCUCUCCGGGCCAAGCUCCUCUUCCUGGCUGCGUCUCCAGGCCUGACUCCUGCCUCUCAACAACCUCUUUGGACUCAGUGCCUACCCAUCUCCUGGCGUCCUUGGUCGGCCCACAGCUUCCUCAAGCCAAGCUCCCCAGGCCCAGGUCAGGCCUCACGGUGCCCCCUCCACGAUGAGCUCCUGCCCUCCAAUGGCACCUGCAGGCCCCAAAUGGUCUCCGGUCGGUGGGCUCCUCCACGCCAAGCUUGGGCCUCCCGGUGACCUCUGCAGGCCCAAGUUGUCCUGAAGUCGGCAUCUCCCAGCCAUGCCUCCCAGCAAGUAAGCAAGCUCUUUUGGCUCAACUCCUGCCCAGCUCCCAACCGCCUUUGUAGGUCCCGAACUUUCUCCAGCCAAGUUCUUUGGGCCUCAUUCCUGCCGCCCGGUGGCCUGUACGGGCCCAGCAAUGGUUGGAGAACGGCCUCUGCAGGUCCCGCUCUUGCCUCCCAGGGGCCUCUCCAGGCCCAGCUCUUGCCCCCACGGCGGCCACCUGGGGCCAAGUCCCUGCCUGCCUCCCAGCAGCCCGCAUGCGGCCCAGCUCCUCCCUCACGGUGGCCUGUUGAUGCCCAUGCCUCUGGUACCCUGCCCAGAGGCAUGAGCCCCUGCCACACACUGGCUCCUCCCACGCUGAGAGAGGUCAGCGUGAGCCCUUGCCUCACACCGGCCCCUCCCAUCCUGAGAGAGGUCAGCGUGAGCCCCUUGACUCACACUGGCUCCUCCCACGCUGAGAGAGGUCAGCGUGAGCCCUUGCCUCACACCGGCCCCUCCCAUGCUGAGAGAGGUCGGCGUGAGCCCUUGACUCACACCGGCCCCUCCCACGGUGAGAGAGGUCAGCGUCAGCCCCUUGCCUCACACCGGCCCCUCCCACGCUGAGAGAGGUCGGCGUGAGCCCUUGCCUCACACCGGCCCCUCCCACGCUGAGAGAGGUCAGCGUCAGCCCCUUGCCUCACACCGGCCCCUCCCACGCUGAGAGAGGUUGGCGUGAGCCCCUUGCCUCACACCGGCCCCUCCCACGCUGAGAGAGGUCGGCGUGAGCCCUUGCCUCACACCGGCCCCUCCCACGCUGAGAGAGGUCAACGUGAGCCCCUUGCCUCACACCGGCCCCUCCCACGCUGAGAGAGGUCGGCGUGAGCCCUUGCCUCACACCGGCCCCUCCCACGCUGAGAGAGGUCAACAUGAGCCCCUUGCCUCACACCGGCCCCUCCCACGCUGAGAGAGGUCAACAUGAGCCCCUUGCCUCACACCGGCCCCUCCCACGCUGAGAGAGGUCGGCAUGAGCCCCUUGCCUCACACCGGCCCCUCCCACGCUGAGAGAGGUCAGCGUGAGCCCCUUGCCUCACACCGGCCCCUCCCACGCUGAGAGAGGUCGGCGUGAGCCCUUGCCUCACACCGGCCCCUCUCACGCUGAGAGAGGUCAGCGUGAGCCCCUUGCCUCACACGGGCCCCUCUCACUCUGACAGAGGUCAGCCUGAGCCCUUGUCUCACACCGGCCCCUCCCACGCUGAGAGAGGUCAGCAUGAGCCCUUGCCUCACACCGGCCCCUCCCACGCUGAGAGAGGUCAGCCUGAGCCCUUGCCUCACACCGGCCCCUCCCACGCUGAGAGAGGUCAGCGUGAGCCCCUUGCCUCACCCCGGCCCCUCCCAUGCUGAGAGAGGUCGGCGUGAGCCCUUGCCUCACACCGGCCCCUCCCAUGCUGAGAGAGGUCGGCGUGAGCCCCUUGCCUCACACCGGCCCCUCCCACGCUGAGAGAGGUUGGCGUGAGCCCUUGCCUCACACCGGCCCCUCUCACGCUGAGAGAGGUCGGCGUGAGCCCCUUGCCUCACACGGGCCCCUCUCACUCUGACAGAGGUCAGCCUGAGCCCUUGUCUCACACCGGCCCCUCCCACGCUGAGAGAGGUCGGCAUGAGCCCCUUGCCUCACACGGGCCCCUCUCACUCUGACAGAGGUCAGCCUGAGCCCUUGUCUCACACCGGCCCCUCCCACGCUGAGAGAGGUCAGCAUGAGCCCUUGCCUCACACCGGCCCCUCCCACGCUGAGAGAGGUCAGCGUGAGCCCCUUGCCUCACCCCGGCCCCUCCCAUGCUGAGAGAGGUCGGCGUGAGCCCUUGCCUCACACCGGCCCCUCCCAUGCUGAGAGAGGUCGGCGUGAGCCCUUGCCUCACACCGGCCCCUCCCACGCUGAGAGAGGUCGGCGUGAGCCCUUGCCUCACACCGGCCCCUCCCACGCUGAGAGAGGUCAGCGUGAGCCCCUGCCUCAACAGGCCACCGUGAGGGAGGAGCAGGGUCGCACGCGGGCUGCUGUGAGGCAGGCAGCGACUUGGGCCUGGGAGGUCGUGGUGGGGUGAGAGCUGGGCUUGGAGACUCCCCUGGGAGGCAACAGCGGGGCCUACAGACUCUGUUCUCCAGCCGGAGCUGGGACUGUUCAGGUACUGGGAGGUGGGAUGUGGGUCUGAAGAGCUUGGUUGCAGAAACUUCGGGGUCUACAAACGCAGGCGGGAGCUGAGCCAAAAAAGCUUGUUUGCUGGGAGGCGGGAGAUGCAGCCAGGAGAAACAGCUGUGCCUGCAGAGGCCGCCAUGCGGGAGGCGGAGGCCGGGCCUCCUCAAAUCGGCCUCUCCAGACCCACUUGCAGCCUCCCGGCAUCCUCUCCGGGCCCAGCUCUUCCUCCCAGCUGCGUCUCCAGGCCUGACUCUGGCCUCCCAACAACGUCUUUGGACUCAGCUCCUGCCCAGCUCCCAGCAGGCCCAAGUUGUCGUCAAGUCGGCCUGGAAUUGGGCCCGGAAGAGCAGCAAGUCGGCCUCCCCGGGCCCAGCUCCGUCCUCUCGGCGGCCUCUCCAGGUGCAAAACUUCCUCGAGUCAGCCUCUCCAGGCCCAGCUCCUCCUGCCUCCCAGUGGCCUCUUUCAGCCCAGACCAGCUCAUGGCUCUUGGCGGCCUUCCCAGGCCCCGCUUUUGACUUUUGGUGGCCUCUUCAGGCCCAGAACUUGACCUCCAGUGGGCCUUUGCAGGCCCGGCCUCCUGCCUCUCGAAGGCCUGCACGGGCCCGGACUCACAGCGGACUCACAGCGGACUCUCCAUGCCCAGCUAGCUCUCGCCUCAUUGCGGCCUCCCGAGUCCAAAGCUCCUGCCUCUCGGCCGCUUCGGCAGGCCCAGCUCCCGCCUGCCAGUGGCCUCUUUAGGCCCAGCUCAUUCCUCACAACGGCCUUCCCAGGCCCCGUUUUUCCCUUCUGGCAGCCUCUUGGCCUCUAAUUUGUUUAUCUUUUGUGUAUAAAUCCCAAAAUAUUGAAUUUUGGAAUAUUUCCACCAUUAUGUAAAUAUUUUGGUAGGUGAUUUAUUUGGGGUGAGUUUCUGCACCAAGCUCGAAUUUUUUAUUUUAUUUUCCUUAUUAUUUGGUGUUAAACAGGUUUAAUGACGGUCAUGGCAACUGUUUGGCACAAUGAAAAAUAUCGCCCAUGA